GAUUAAGUUAUUAAGGGCGCACGGUGGAUGCCUUGGCACUAGAAGCCGAUGAAGGACGUUACUAACGACGAUAUGCUUUGGGGAGCUGUAAGUAAGCUUUGAUCCAGAGAUUUCCGAAUGGGGAAACCCAGCAUGAGUUAUGUCAUGUUAUCGAUAUGUGAAUACAUAGCAUAUCAGAAGGCACACCCGGAGAACUGAAACAUCUUAGUACCCGGAGGAAGAGAAAGAAAAUUCGAUUCCCUUAGUAGCGGCGAGCGAAACGGGAAGAGCCCAAACCAACAAGCUUGCUUGUUGGGGUUGUAGGACACUCUAUACGGAGUUACAAAGGACGACAUUAGACGAAUCAUCUGGAAAGAUGAAUCAAAGAAGGUAAUAAUCCUGUAGUCGAAAAUGUUGUCUCUCUUGAGUGGAUCCUGAGUACGACGGAGCACGUGAAAUUCCGUCGGAAUCUGGGAGGACCAUCUCCUAAGGCUAAAUACUCUCUAGUGACCGAUAGUGAACCAGUACCGUGAGGGAAAGGUGAAAAGCACCCCGGAAGGGGAGUGAAAUAGAACCUGAAACCGUGUGCUUACAAGUAGUCAGAGCCCGUUAAUGGGUGAUGGCGUGCCUUUUGUAGAAUGAACCGG
rnacentral:rRNA from 1 species